AUUCAUCCUUAUCGGAGUGUCCUUAGGAUCAUGGAGAAUGAAGUUUGGCUGAUGGAAUAGUGCAGUGGAAAUCUCCACAUCAAAACUGAAGUUUGCCUUCACUCCUCAGAAUCCACCAGCCACCUCUGACACUGCCUUGGGGGAUCUCUGCUUGGUGUAACCACAUCUUUUGAGAUCACUCAGCUCAGGUGAUUCAGGCUCUUGUGUUGCUGUGGUUUUAUACUGAGUGCAUACAUGUAAGAGGAGGUCUCCGCAUCCUCUCCUGCUUACAAUCCCCCAGGGGACUGGAUACUCCAAAGUACCU